rnacentral:tRNA from 1 species
GGAAUGUGGCUCAAUGGUAGAGUGCUUGCCUGUAAGGCCCUGGGUUCGAUUCCCAGCACCA